rnacentral:rRNA from 1 species
GUGCAGAGCGGCGGCGGACUCGCCGAGUACGCGGUGGCGCCAGCGUCGCUCACGGUGGCGAGGCCGCCGGAGGUGUCUGCAUUCGAAGGCGCCUGCCUGCCGGCGGCCGGCGGCUCUGCGCUGCAGCUGCUCAAGCUCGCCCGGGUCAGCUUCGACGGGACCUCCGGCGCCACCAGCCCGAAGAACGCGCUGGUGACCGCUGCGUCCGGCGGCGUGGGCCACUACGCCAUGCAGCUCGCGAAGCUCGUGGGCCUGCGCGUCACGGCCACCUGCGGCGCGCGCAACGUGGACUUCGUCCGGGGCCUGGGCGCCGACGAGGUGCUCGACUACAAGACGCCCGAGGGCGCGGCCCUGCGGAGCCCGUCGGGCAGGAGGUACGACGCGGUGGCGAACUGCGCGGCGGGGGUGCCGUGGCCGGCGCUGAAGGCGGUGCUGGCCGACGAGGGCGGCACGGUGGCGGACGUCACGCCGGGGGUCGGCGCCGCGCUCACGUCGAUCCCACAGAAGGCGACCUUCGCCAAGAAGAGGCUAGCGCCGCUGAUGUUGGCGCCGAGGAGGGAGGAGCUGGAGUGGCUGGUGGGCUUGGCGAGGCAGGGGAAGCUCAGGACUAUGGUGGACUCGAGGUUCCCGCUGAGCAGAGCGCAGGAGGCGUGGGCUAAGAGCAUGGAGGGGCAUGCCACUGGCAAGAUCGAUGUGGAAAUGGGAGGCGCAGAAUGA